rnacentral:rRNA from 1 species
UCGAGAAUCUUUCGCAAUGGGCGAAAGCCUGACGAAGCGACGCUGUGUGAGUGAUGAAGGCCUUCGGGUUGUAAAACUCUUUCGCUUGGGAACAAGAAAUGUCGACCAAUAAUCGACAGAUUUGAGAGUACUAGGUAAAGAAGCACCGGCUAACUACGUGCCAGCAGCUGCGGUAAUACGUAGGGUGCAAGCAUUAAUCGGAUUUAUUGGGCGUAAAGGGGGCGCAGGCGGCAAAGUAAGUCGGAUGUGAAAUCCCGGGGCUCAACCCCGGACCCGCAUUCGAAACUACUUUACUAGAGGAUAGACGGAGAAAACGGAAUUCCACAUGUAGCGGUGAAAUGCGUAGAUAUGUGGAAGAACACCUGUGGCGAAAGCGGUUUUCUAGUUUAUUCCUGACGCUCAUGCCCGAAAGCUAGGGGAGCAAACA